GUUAAAAUGGCCAGCGUGAGGAAUUAUUAAUUAAAGCUAACAAAUCACCCUGACGAGCUGUGCCCUGGCAUGGCUGAAGGUUGAUUGGCGAAAGUGUUCUCCUUUGGAGAAAAGACUUUUUGUGCUCGUGACGCAGUCAGGGACGGAUUAUUGAAUAUGCAAGUUAGAAGAAAAAUCACAGGACAAGCAAAUUGAGUAUUUACUGGCAAAUAAUUGCUCUCUUAAGCUGUGGCUCUCUUCCUAAAUUCUUAACAUUCCCGAGGGUUAGAAAGAAACACAGAAAAAUGCAUCGGUACAGAGUACAUUUCAAAAAAAAUACAUAGACUGAUGUUUCAGACUUGUGCAGAAUGUAUCGCCAUCACUAACUGGAUAUUCCUCACAACUUUGCUGUCCGCAGUGGCUGGCACUUUUCCUCCACGCUUUGAGAGAAAGAGAAUUGGCUGGAAUAAAACCUUGCCUUCCAUAUGGUCGACUUGAAAUACAGCAUUGAAAAGACUGUCCCCCUGGAGGUUCCCAUAUAUCUGAAGUGGCUUCUCU
rnacentral:lncRNA from 1 species